rnacentral:rRNA from 1 species
AUAAACGCUGGCGGCGUGCUUCAGGCAUGCAAGUCGAACGAGUCUCCGACUUCGGUCGGAGUACUAGUGGCGGACGGGUGAGUAACACGUAAGUAACCUGCCCAGAAGUGGGGAAUAACCCGCCGAAAGGCGAGCUAAUACCGCAUAUGAUGGUUUUUCUGCGGAGAGAUCAUUAAAGGCGUAAGUCGCUUCUGGAGGGGCUUGCGGUCGAUUAGCCAGUUGGUGGGGUAACGGCCUACCAAAGCGACGAUCGAUAGCUGGUCUGAGAGGACGGACAGCCACACGGGGACUGAGAUACGGCCCCGACUCCUACGGGAGGCAGCAGCUAGGAAUCUUGGGAAUGGGCGAAAGCCUGACCCAGCAACGCCGCGUGGGCGAUGAAGGCCUUCGGGUCGUAAAGCCCUUUUGCAGGGGAAGAUGAUGACGGUACCCUGCGAAUAAGCCACGGCUAACUACGU